GUCCAGACGGUGGCGGUAGAGAAACAGCAGGCCUGGAAGCUACCGUUAAACACCACAGAAGAAGCAGCAGCAGCAGCAGCAGAAGAAGAAGCAGCUGAUUCGGGUCGUUUUAAACUUCAUCAAAACUUUAUUAAACUUUAUUAAACAACCGGAACCAGAAGAACUCUGCGGGGUUUCCUCCGGGACAGAACCGGAACCGGGACAGAACCGGAACCGGGACUGCUCAACGGAACUAGAUCAUGUUUCUACUGAGACGACCUGCCACUCUGCAACCUCGUAUCUCCAGACUGCUUUCUACUGCUUUACCCACUCUGACUCUAUUUACUAAGGAUCCGUGUCCUCUGUGUGAUGAAGCUAAAGAAGAGCUGGAAACCCUUCAGACACCGAUUUGUCCGGCAGCGGUGGACAUCAUGUCUUCCAGAGGAACAGUGUGU